rnacentral:rRNA from 1 species
GAAGAACCUUACCAACCCUUGACAUGGUGGUCGCGGAUCGCAGAGAUGCUUUCCUUCAGUUCGGCUGGACCACACACAGGUGUUGCAUGGCUGUCGUCAGCUCGUGUCGUGAGAUGUUGGGUUAAGUCCCGCAACGAGCGCAACCCUCAUUCUUAUUUGCCAGCGGGUAAUGCCGGGAACUAUAAGAAAACUGCCGGUGAUAAGCCGGAGGAAGGUGGGGACGACGUCAAGUCAUCAUGGCCCUUACGGGUUGGGCUACCCGCGUGCUACAAUGGUGUUUACAGAGGGAGGCAAGACGGCGACGUGGAGCAAAUCCCUAAAAGACAUCUCAGUUCGGAUUGUUCUCUGCAACUCGAGAGCAUGAAGUUGGAAUCGCUAGU